rnacentral:lncRNA from 1 species
AAUGACUACAUAUACUUUCUCCUCUUCAUUUUCCAUAAUUCCCUACCCUUUAUUUUCUUUGCAACGCUCACAAAGGACUAUCGAAAAUUGAUUCGAUUCUCCUUCUAUUUAUCCUCUCGGGAAGCUCCUUGCCAGCAAGGUGGCUCAAUCAUGGUAGGUUCCGUGAAGUAGGCACGAGAAAGUAUCAAGGAUCUUUAAUUUGAAGUGUGGAAAAUGUGAAAUUUGUAGCAAUAAAUGCAAGGCUUCGUAUCUGUGGGAAAAUGGUUAAUAUUUCAAAAGGAGAUUAGCGAAAAGGGUGGUUUGAACUUGAUUUGUUUAAUUAUACUUUGCAAGUCGGCCAUGACUUUUACUCCUACUUACCUUUUCGUGAGGGCAUAAAUUGAGACAUGGGGUCCUCUUCUUUACUUAAGAAAUCUGGGAUUCUCGUGGUUUAACAUCAAGUUUUGGAAUUUUUCUUGGUGUUUUCUUCUGUAUGUGUACUUAAUCCAUAACUAAACAGUGUUUGGCCCCAAUUUUAAGAUUUCUUUUUUCCCUAAAUUUAUUUUUUAAUUACACAU